rnacentral:rRNA from 1 species
GACGCUGGCGGCAGGCUAAACAUGCAAGUCGAGCGGAUGAAGGGAGCUUGCUCCUGGAUUCAGCGGCGGACGGGUGAGUAAUGCCUAGGAAUCUGCCUGGUAGUGGGGGAUAACGUCCGGAAACGGGCGCUAAUACCGCAUACGUCCUGAGGGAGAAAGUGGGGGAUCUUCGGACCUCACGCUAUCAGAUGAGCCUAGGUCGGAUUAGCUAGUUGGUGGGGUAAAGGCCUACCAAGGCGACGAUCCGUAACUGGUCUGAGAGGAUGAUCAGUCACACUGGAACUGAGACACGGUCCAGACUCCUACGGGAGGCAGCAGUGGGGAAUAUUGGACAAUGGGCGAAAGCCUGAUCCAGCCAUGCCGCGUGUGUGAAGAAGGUCUUCGGAUUGUAAAGCACUUUAAGUUGGGAGGAAGGGCAG